rnacentral:ncRNA from 1 species
GGGAGCCUGAGAAACGGCUACCACAUCCAAGGAAGGCAGCAGGCGCGCAAAUUACCCACUCCCGGAACGGGGAGGUAGUGACGAAAAAUAACGAUACGGGACUCAUCCGAGGCCCCGUAAUCGGAAUGAGAACACUUUAAAACCUUUAAACGAGGAUCAAUUGGAGGGCAAGUCUGGUGCCAGCAGCCGCGGUAAUUCCAGCUCCAAUAGCGUAUAUUAAAGUUGUUGCGGUUAAAAAGCUCGUAGUCGGAUCUGUGUCUGGACGGUGCCGGACCACCCUGGCGGUCCGUCGUGUCGCGGCCGGCCGUGUCGCGGGACCACGUGUCCCGUCGGCGCGGUCGCCGUCGCGCUCGUCAGCCGUCUCGGGGUGUUAGUUACCGGCACGUCGGCCGGACGUAUUGUCGGCAGGCGGACACGUGUCUCGUGCUUCCGGCGCGCCGCGCGGCCACGCGUCGCGCGGCCGUCGGUGUUCGACGACGGCGGCCGCCUACUCCAAUCUUGCUGCGCGGUGCUCUUCACCGAGUGCCGUCGGCGGGCCGACACGUUUUACUUUGAACAAAUUAGAGUGCUCAAAGCAGGCUCGAAUCUGGCGGGGCGGCUUCACGGCCGUCUCGUCAAAAGGCCCUGAAUACUGGUCGCAUGGAAUAAUGGAACAAGACCUCGGUCCCGCGCAUCUCCGCCCUUCGCGGGCGCGCGAAAUCGCCCUCCGGGGCGUUUCCGUGCGCGGGCCGCCGGGCCGCGGGCGCCAGUCGCCCGCGCGUCCCGCCGGGCCGGUUUUCGGGACCGGAGGUAAUGAUCAACAGAGACGGGCGGGGGCAUUCGUACCGAGACGUUAGAGGUGAAAUUCUUGGAUCGUCUCGAGACGAACUGACGCGAAAGCAUUUGCCAAGUACGUUCUCGUAUGAUCAAGAACGAAAGUUAGAGGUUCGAAGGCGAUCAGAUACCGCCCUAGUUCUAACUGUAAACGAUGCCAGCUAGCGAUCCGCCGGCGUUUCAUUAACGACCCGGCGGGCAGCUUCCGGGAAACCGAAGCUUUUCGGUUCC